rnacentral:lncRNA from 1 species
UGGGGCGAGGCUGCACCGCCCGCCGGGCCCGGCCCGGCCCCGCUUCCCGUCCCGGUCCCGGUGCCUCCGGACGGGCGGCCGCAACGAAGUCCCGGGGGAAAUGCCCCGACGGCGCGGGCGGAGCCGUGGGGCGCGCCGGUGGCUACCGCCGAGAUGGGGGUUGCAUAACCCGAGCGAUGUGCGGAGAGUCGGAGUGAGCAAGCGGGUUAUAUAUAGCUGCCCCGUCUGUAGCCUGCGGGGCUUGAUUCUUCUGUUGAAAUAUUAUCUUUGGACGUGGUAAAAAUAUUUGCAGAGAAAAAUCUAGACUACUCGUACAUAUUUGAGCAUAUGUUCCUGCAGCUAAAGGCAUAAGGGCAGAACGUGACACGAUCGGGGUUUAUUUCCCCGCCGCUGCUGUCAGCGCUGCUCCCGGCCGGGUGCGUUCCCUCCCGCCGCGCCGGCACAGAAAGCGAAGGCGCUGCCGCUGCGGCCCCGCGCUGCUGCCGGGCUGCGGGCGGUGCGGGAACGGGACUCGUUAGGAAUCAAGGAGCGAAACUGUCGGGGCGGAGGGGAAAAGCGGAGAGACGGGAGAGUUACUGCCAACGGCGCGGGGAGGCCACGGGCUGCCGCGGGAGGGACGUGCCCGGCUCUGGGUCAGCCUCUGCCGCGGAAGGAAAGCGAAAAUCUGGAAAUGAAGUCCUGCACCCCAGCACGACGGCUGCUGCUCGCGCUGUGCUUGCCCGGGCCGUUUCCCAGCUCAUUCCCGUAUCCCCGCGUGCCUACCUAAAGCCCGGGCCGCAUUUGCCGGGAUCUCGCCAGACCCGCGGGCCCCCGUCGGAGCACUGCGAAGCGAAUCCCCGCCUCGCUGAGCACCGAGAACUCGAGGCGGGGGGAAGAGCCGGACUCCCCCGCCGCUGGCACACAUCUCCUAAGCCCCCAAAUCCUCGGGCCCCGGAGGUGGGAGAACCAUCGGCGGCAUUGGAAAAACUGCUCACCGUACCACAUCCCCGCGACCCCCCGACGGUAGCCUCGGCCUCGUCGAUGCACCCCAAGUCCGGGCAUCGCCGCUUCCCUAUGAUCCCACUGCCCUCCCCAGGAUCUCUUCCCGCAGCAGGCGACCACUGCCGUUGGGGCCCCGCACCCCAGACCUUUCAGACGAGGCGAGGGCUGCUCCCUUCGUACUCCUCGCGGCUCCUGUCAGAACCCGGGCCGUGCCACACCGGGCCUCUGCCCUUUGGAUCUCCCGGGUCGGCCGUCCCCACACAGCCCGCGCCCGGGCUGCUCCGCAGGUGUGAGCCACUGCCCCGACGGGCUCUCCCCGUAGAGCUCCCCCGCCGCCUCAUUCCCUCCGUCCGCCCUCCACACUCACCCCUCCGCCCGCAUCUCUCCUCCCGGCCCUCCCCGAGCCCUCCUUUCUGCUCGCUCCUCGG